rnacentral:rRNA from 1 species
AGAGUUUGAUCCUGGCUCAGGAUGAACGCUAGCGGCAGGCUUAAUACAUGCAAGUCGAGGGGCAGCAGGGGUGGCAAUACCCGCUGGCGACCGGCAAACGGGUGCGGAACACGUACGCAACCUUCCUUUAACUGGAGAAUAGCCCCUCGAAAGAGGGAUUAAUACUCCGUAACAUAUUGAUAAGGCAUCUUAUUAAUAUUAUAGUCUUCGGGCGGUUAAAGAUGGGCGUGCGCCUGAUUAGAUAGUUGGUGAGGUAACGGCUCACCAAGUCUGCGAUCAGUAACUGGUGUGAGAGCACGACCAGUCACACGGGCACUGAGACACGGGCCCGACUCCUACGGGAGGCAGCAGUAAGGAAUAUUGGUCAAUGGACGCAAGUCUGAACCAGCCAUGCCGCGUGGAGGAUUAAGGCCCUCUGGGUUGUAAACUCCUUUUAUCUGGGAAGAAAUGCCAUUUUUCUAAAUGGUUUGACGGUACCAGAGGAAUAAGCACCGGCUAACUCCGUGCCAGCAGCCGCGGUAAUACGGAGGGUGCAAGCGUUAUCCGGAUUCACUGGGUUUAAAAGGGUGCGUAGCGGGCAGGUAAGUCCGUGGGAAAUCUCUGAGCUUAACUCAGAAACUUGCCAUGGAUACUUAAUUUUGUCUUUUGAAAUUACUGGUGGGAAGGGUAAAGCCGGGAAUAUUGGUCCAAUUGUAAACGGGGUGGAAAAAUGGGCUUUAGAUUAUUGACCAUGGAAANCAACACAANUUGGCGGAAAGGCAAGUUAACUUACACAGGUUAAUUUGGAACGGCUUGGAAGGCA